AUGGUCUUUAUAGCAAAGGUGGGAAUGAAGGUGAAGAUCAUCCCACCGAAGCAGAUUUGCAACAGGUUCUUGCGGAUUUUGAUGAUUGAUAAACCAUGAUGUUGGGAUUAAUAUUUAGAUAUGCUUUUAUUACUAUUUAACUUUUAAGUUUGGAUUUUGAUAAGAUCAUAUGUAUUUGGUUGAUGAUAUUUUAUGUAGUGUUUUAAAUUUCGAAGAUA